CGGAGGGAUCAUUACCGAGUUUACAACUCCCAAACCCAAUGUGAACGUUACCAAACUGUUGCCUCGGCGGGAUCUCUGCCCCGGGUGCGUCGCAGCCCCGGACCAAGGCGCCCGCCGGAGGACCAACCAAAACUCUUAUUGUAUACCCCCUCGCGGGUUUUUUACUAUCUGAGCCAUCUCGGCGCCCCUCGUGGGCGUUUCGAAAAUGAAUCAAAACUUUCAACAACGGAUCUCUUGGUUCUGGCAUCGAUGAAGAACGCAGCGAAAUGCGAUAAGUAAUGUGAAUUGCAGAAUUCAGUGAAUCAUCGAAUCUUUGAACGCACAUUGCGCCCGCCAGUAUUCUGGCGGGCAUGCCUGUCCGAGCGUCAUUUCAACCCUCGAACCCCUCCGGGGGGUCGGCGUUGGGGAUCGGCCCUUUACGGGGCCGGCCCCGAAAUACAGUGGCGGUCUCGCCGCAGCCUCUCCUGCGCAGUAGUUUGCACACUCGCAUCGGGAGCGCGGCGCGUCCACAGCCGUUAAACACCCCAAACUUCUGAAAUGUUGACCUCGGAUCAG
rnacentral:rRNA from 1 species